AAAAAAAAAGGGAGAAGAAAUUUUACUUAGAUGAUGAUGUGUGUGCGAUCAUGGUUUGCUACCUAGACAAUUUGAAAUCUUUCCGAACUUUUAAUAAACUCAAAGACAUUUUUGAAAAUGGUUUGGUUUUGCUCUAGAGAAAGAAGACAACUACCCGAGGUAAGUAGUUCUAUGUUAAUUUUACAAUCAUUUGGAAGCCAGCGCAAACUUUCAAACAUUUUAUUUCGUAUGUCUGAAUAUAAU
rnacentral:lncRNA from 1 species